AUGCUAAAUAAAAUAAGCCAGUCAGAAGAAGACAAAUACAAUAUGAUUUCACUUAUAUGUGGAAUCUGAUGAACAAAAUAAAAAUUGAAACAGACUCGUAGAUACAGAGAGCAAGCUGGUAGUUGCUAGAAGGUAGAUGGCUGGGGGACUGGAUGAAAGAGGUGAAGGGACUAAGAAGCACAAGUUGGUAGUUACAGCAUAGUCAUGGGGAAGUAAGUGAAGCAUAGGAAACAUAGUCAAUAAUAUUGCAAUAACUAUGUAUAGUUCCAGUUGGGGUCUGGAAAUAUCAAGGGGAAAACUAUGUAAAGUAUUUGAUUGUCUAACCACCAAGCUGUACAUGUGAAACCAAUGCAAAAUAAAAUUGAAAGAAAAAAACAAGCUGAGGGCAUUUCAGUAUACAUGGUGGGGCAAAUGUAGGUUUACAGUUGUGUAUAUGCAAAACAGUUCAUUCUUGUAGUAUCAUUAAUUGUAUUAUUUUCCAUACAAACAACUGUAUACCUACUUUUGCCUCACCCUGUAUUUAGUGUAAAACUGCUUUUGCAGAUGGCUCUGCUGCUUUGUUUAGGAUACAGUAGUGUUUGUUUAUUUUUAAUAUUUCUUGGAUUCUAGAACAUCAGCUGGUUUUCAGGGAAGAAUACUAACAUUUUCAAUCAUGUAAUUUUCUAGUAUUGUUUUUAGAGGUUUUGGGGGGCAGUCUUUUCAGAACACUGUAAAAUAGGAUGGAGUACUACAUCAUUCAGUAGUAUAUUCAAAAAUGAAAGCACCUCAAAACCUUUCCAAAAUGAAAUAAAUACAAAGGGAGUGGGUGUUAGGGAAAGAACUGAAGUUUCUAAAAGUGUAUAUUUUAUUCCAGGGCGGUGUUUCAGUAUUUUAAUACAUAUUUGAUCCUGUUUGAAUUGAGUUUCAUGAUUUUUUUGUUUUAACUCCGACUGAGAUAAACAGAAUUUGCUUGAAGACACAUGUAAGUCCACAUAAUUGGUGAGGCUGGAGCUUAUAUCCUGAUUUUUAAGUUUAGCGUUCUUUUGUAGAAGUAAAGAAUGCUUACAGACUCUUUCUCAUCCUCCUCUGCCAUCUCCCUCUCUUAGUGGGGAAAUGCUUGCAGUCAUUUAUAGAGAUAGUUGCUUUACAGAUAAUCUUUGUAUCACACUCUGUGAAAUUCGUGCCUGGAGGGAGAUGGGGAGAACCUGAAGUAGCAAUAUUGCAGUAGGAAGCACCAAAGAGACCUCUAAUUCCAGGGCAGAGCUGUUGUGCCCUUGUUUGGAUAGCUCAAUGGCAACCCAAAAUCUAUACAUGUUAGUUGUUGCUGAAAGAAAUGUGUAGGUAAAUCCUACCUUUGACUGCUGCGGAAGUGCUUUUCUCAAUCACUUUUGCUUUUUUUAAAAUUUAUUUUUCAAUUACUGUUGACACACACUCUUACACUAGUUCAGAUGUACAACAUAGUGAUUAGACAUUUAUAUAGCUUAAAAAAUGAUCAUGCCGGUAAGUCUAGUACCCAAUAUUAUGAUUGUAUUCCUUAUACUGUACUUUACAUCUCCAAAGUACUCUUGCUUUUGGUGAAGAAUCAUUAAAAUUGUUUCUUGAUGGGCUUUAUUGGAUGAAUCUCAUUACACAUGUGCCAGAAUUUUAUAUUAUUACAUUUCUUUGGCCAAAUUUGGAGGUGGAAAGUUAUGUACAGCCCAGUCAUAUGUAAAACAAUAAUGUUAUUAAUGAUAUUAUUUGUUAAAACUGCCAUUGUUAACAACCACUACUUAGUUCAUGCUCUGGGCUAAGUGCUUUUAAGUUUUAGUGAUAAUGUGUAUGACUCACCCUACAAGAUAAAUAUUAUCCCCAUCUUAUAGCUAAAGAAAUCGAGACUUAGUGACUUGCCUAAGGUUAUAUAACUAAAUAAGUAGCAGAGCCAGGGUAUAUAACCUAGGUCUACAGGGCUUAACUUUAUUCUUUCUGUUGAAUCAAGUAUCCUGACAUGUAUAUUAAAAUAUGUUUUACUAAUUGCAGGACAGUGUGACUUUCUUUGAACCUGUUCUGCCAAGGUUCCCUCCCCUGUCUUCAUUCUGAUAUCAACUGCUGUUGCUGGUACCCCUUAAAAAUAGUGUGUGAAAAAUGCUGAAUUAACAAAUUGAGUUUUUGAUGGCCUACCAUGGUUCCUGUAGCUGAUAUCAUACUUUCUCCACCCCUUAAAUAAAAGUAAUUGUUUGUUCAUAGCUCUUUCAAAGACUGAGAAACAGAAGUUGUUCCUUUUGGUUGUACAGUAAGCCAGAAUCAGAACUAGGUCAGAAUUCAUUGGCUCUGAUGAAUACUUGAGUAAUUAGGGAAUCAGAUAAUCAAAGUAAAUCCAUCUUUUUAAUAUAAUUAUACCUUGAUUCAGAGAGGUUGAAUUAAUUGAAAUUUGCUCAUGUAGAAGAAAACAAAUCCAUGUUCUUUUGACUCAUAGUUGGAAAAUAAUUUUAUGAUAAUGGUCAUUAUUGCUCACUUUUUGCCCAUUACACAUGCUGAUUUUUUUCAGGAAGAUCAUGCUCCAUAAAUGUGAAUGUUCUGGCACUUGGACUUAUGGCUCUCUUGCCCACAUUCAUAUUAAGAGACAUUGGUACAAAGGUAUACCACAUACUUUGUUUUUAUAAAUCCAAGGACUUCAGUUUUCUGUUACUGUAACUUAAAUUUUAGAUUAGCUUGUAGAAAACUGAAAGAUGCUGAAGAGAAUAGGAACAAAAGGAAAUCCCGUGUUUCUGUGUUUCUUAGAGUAGGAAAAAUGAGUGAAUGGUGGCUAAUGAGUAGUAGAAAGUAAUAAAUCCAUAGGGAUUUGGUUUGAAGUUAAGUGACUGAAUUUAUAGAAAACUAAUAUUGUCUAUAUUAGCUAUAAUUGAAUCAGUCAGUAUCUAAGGGGUACCUACUUCGGAUUUCUCAGUAUGCCUAGUACUAUGGAGGUUACAAAAGGAAUAUGUAGUAUUUGAUUGUCUAGGAACCUAGUCACUUUGGAAUAAUAAACCUUGUACUCUAAACAUAAUACACAUUUUGAAAAUGAAAAUGUAAAAAACAUUUGACACAUUAAUUACUAAAAUUAAUGGUGUCAGGCACAAAGGGGCAUUUUUCUUUCUUUUUUUAAGGCUUUGGUUAUCUUUUAGAAGAACUUCACUAUGGAAGGAAUGCUUUUCAGAUUCUCCCUGAUCUAGUCUUUUUAAAGUCUUUGUUGGCUUUGUUUCUUCCUGAAUUUAUUGCUACUAAAAUAAGAGCACCAAGGGAAUAGGGAUUAUGGCCUUCAUGUUUGUGACUGCAUUUCUAGUGUCCAGUGAUCAAUAAACAGGUUUUGAAUAAAUUAAUGUGAAAGUCUCUUUUUUUCCUCUCAUUAUCCAGUUUCUUGAAAGGUUUCUGUCCUAUGUGGGCUUCACAUUUGUACCUUUUGUUUCUUUGUCAGCCCAUUGCUAUCCCAAGUAAUGAAAUAAUUACCUCAAAGCUUAACGAUUUUCUAAUUGUCUAAAGAUUAUUGUUAUCUAUAUGCUGUUACUGCUUAACUUUGUUGUAACUUUGAUACUAUUGUCUCUCUGUUCCUACUGGAAAUACUUUUGUAGCUUUACUGUCAGUUUUUCUGACUAUGGCCCCUUACCACCUCCAUAUUCAGUCUGUCUAUCCUUUUAGUUUGUGUUUUGCAGAGUUCAGUUGUUACAGAAUUCUUAAUCCACACACUCUUCCCUGCUGAAGUAAUCUCAUCUCUUGUUUUUAAUUUUUAACUGGAUGUAGAUGUCCAGAGUUAUACAUCUGGCUUUGACCUCUCUCUUGAGCUCCAGACUUAUUUGUCAGCCAGUAAACACUAAGUAUAUGUCAGAACUGGGAAUAUGGAGAUGAAUAAGGCACAGUUUACCCCAGAGUACUGACAGUUUAGUUGGAACAGAACAAUUAGUAAACUAGCAGUUAAGCAGCACAUUAUAUCUAUAAUAGAGUGCCUUGGGACUAAAGAAAAAGGUGGCCUGAUUCAGUUUGGAGGGAGUCAGGUAAUGUUUUUCCCCUCAGUGAUGCUUGAGAAGGAUGAUUAAGAGUUCACCAGGUGAGUAAUGUGGGAGGAGUAUUUUAUGUUGUCUCUGUUAAGCCUGGUGGAUUGUGCUCCCUCUAAAAACAGACCAUUACAGAAUUCUUGGAGGUCUGAGGACAUACAG